CGGCGUCACGUGGGGCGCGGGGUGACCUACUUCGGGCGCGAGGCCUGGCGCAGGGGGCUUGCUGCGCCCGGCCGCACCCUCCCGCACCCCCGGGGAUGCACCUCGGGCCGGGCAGAGGGAGGCUGCCUGCGGCUGAACUGAAUUCAUUCCUGACCCCCCAAGCUGCCAGGGUGCAGCCUGGCCCCUGGCCCAGGGCUGCUGGAAGGGUCAUUUCCAGCCCCACCUUGGGGUUUCUGCAAAGUUUCCCUUCGGGGGGGUUUGCAAAGGGCUGGCGUUCCUUCCCGCUCCCAUGCCCGGGGUGCAGGCUGGUGACGCCUCACCCCAGCAGAAGACCGGGAAGGAGGGUGGGCGAGACAGAGCCGGGGAAGUGGCGCAGGGGCCACAAGCUUUCGUGGCCGGUGGCCGCGUGUCGGGGGCCCUUUGCCGCGGCCAGCGAUGCCAGGCGUUCUCGGGCAAAGAUCACGGCACAAGGGCGAUGGCAGCGGAGCCGGUGCCACCCUUGCGUCCAAGUGCUUGCGGAGCGCCUCGUCUCUGCAGUUUUGCCUCGGGCUCUCCCAGCUGGAGGGAAAAGCUGGAAUAGAUGCAUUCAGGGUGUUUUUGCUCCAUUAUUGCCUCACUGUUGCUCUGGGGACUCCCAGUGCACGAAGAGUCCCGGGGAAAUACAAGGGGAGUUUCCCUGCCGCCCUCCUGCGUAUAGGGCCUGAUGGGUGUUCCCCUUGCCAUGGGCUAGCAGCAAGCCUACAAAACCGUUCCCAUGACGCAGCGGACGCAGAGGAAGUCCUUCACGCCUUGGUGCAGUGUGCUCACCUACCUCAGCACAGUUGAAGACGCUGCUAGAA
rnacentral:lncRNA from 1 species